CACGUAGGGUGCGAGCGUUGUCCGGAAUUAUUGGGCGUAAAGAGCUCGUAGGCGGUGUGUCGCGUCGGCCGUGAAAACCUGCAGCUCAACUGCAGGCUUGCGGUCGAUACGGGCAGGCUGGAGUUCGGUAGGGGAGACUGGAAUUCCUGGUGUAGCGGUGAAAUGCGCAGAUAUCAGGAGGAACACCGGUGGCGAAGGCGGGUCUCUGGGCCGAUACUGACGCUGAGGAGCGAAAGCGUGGGGAGCGAACAGG
rnacentral:rRNA from 1 species